rnacentral:snoRNA from 1 species
CAGCACUGGCAAGUGACCCAUUGGGCUCCUCUUUGACCAACUGGGCAUCGAGCAGUGCAAAAGCAAAUCCCACCACAAAGCUGGGAGAG